AGGUCUUGACAUACCAUGAAAAGCUAAGAGAUUAGUCUUUCCCUUCGGGGACAUGGAUACAGGUGGUGCAUGGUUGUCGUCAGCUCGUGUCGUGAGAUGUUGGGUUAAGUCCCGCAACGAGCGCAACCCUUAUUAUCAGUUGCCAGCAUUCAGUUGGGCACUCUGGUGAGACUGCCGGUGAUAAACCGGAGGAAGGUGGGGACGACGUCAAAUCAUCAUGCCCCUUAUGACCUGGGCUACACACGUGCUACAAUGGUCGGUACAACGUGUUGCGAACUCGCGAGGGCAAGCAAAUCACUUAAAACCGAUCUCAGUUCGGAUUGUAGGCUGCAACUCGCCUGCAUGAAGCUGGAAUCGCUAGUAAUCGCGGAUCAGCAUGCCGCGGUGAAUACGUUCCCGGGCCUU
rnacentral:rRNA from 1 species